rnacentral:rRNA from 1 species
UACCAGCACCCCGAGUGGUCGGGACGAUUAUUGGGCCUAAAGCAUCCGUAGCCGGUCCUGCAAGUCUUCCGUUAAAUCCAGCUGCUCAACAGAUGGGCUGCGGGGGAUACUACAGGGCUAGGAGGCGGGAGAGGCAAGCGGUACUUUAUGGGUAGGGGUAAAAUCCUCUGAUCCAUUGAAGACCACCAGUGGCGAAGGCGGCUUGCCAAUACGCGCUCGACGGUGAGGGAUGAAAGCUGGGGGAGCAAACCGG